GCCAAGGUUAUCCCGAAAAUCGGUUUGUAUGGCAGUAACAUAUAUAUAAAGAAGAUUCUUGUUUCUUCUGGGAUUUAAGCUCAAAUUCUGGACUGUGUUAAACAUGAAAUCAAUCGUUCUCGUUUUGCUAGUGUGUUUGUUUGGACUUGUUGUCAGUCAAACCUGUACAACGGACGCUGAUUGCGCAGGUGCAAACUGUCACCCAGACCAAUCGUCUCACUGCCAUGGAGGAACCUGUCAUUGCCACCAUGACAACGAAUGUCACCACGCAAGUGAUUGUACAUGCGCUGACAACGAAACUCCCUCCUGCGACCAUCAUCAUUGCCAUUGCAACCCUGUGUAACUUGAAUAUGUUGGCCUCAAUAUAAGCUCAUUACUUA